rnacentral:rRNA from 1 species
GCGAAAGGGUCAGUAACGCGAUCGAACGUACCCCGAGGUGGAGGAUAGCGCUGGGAAACUGGCGGUAAGACUCCAUGUGCUCGCAAGAGGAAAGGUUUACCGCCUUGGGAGCGGCGAUCGUCCUAUCAGGUAGUUGGCGGGGUAAAAGCCCACCAAGCCUAAGACGGGUAGCGGGUGUGAGAGCACGGCCCGCGACAUCGGAACUGAGACACUGUCCGGACUCCUACGGGAGGCUGCAGUAACGAAUCUUCCGCAAUGGGCGCAAGCCUGACGGAGCAAUGCCGCGUGUGGGAUGAAGCAUCUCUGGUGUGUAAACCACUGUCAGGGGACGGAACCAAUGAUUGUCCCCAGAGGAAGUGGCGACUAACUCUGUGCCAGCAGUCGCGGUAAUACAGAGGCCACAAGCAUUAGUCGGAAUCACUGGGCUUAAAGGGUCCGCAGGCGGUCCUCCAAGCGCUUUGUGAAAUCCCAUGGCUCAACCAUGGAACAGCAGGGCGAACUGGAGGACUUGAAGAAGGUAAGGGCCGCCGGAACAGUAGAUGGAGCGGUGAAAUGCGUAGAUAUCUACUGGAACGCCGAUGGUGAAGACGGGCGGCUGGGCCUUUCUUGACGCUCAGGGACGAAAGCGUGGGGAUCAAACAGGAUUAGAUACCCUGGUAGUCCACGCCGUAAACGAUGAGUGCUAGGUGUCGCGGGUUUUGACCCCUGCGGUGCCGUAGCUAACGCAUUAAGCACUCCGCCUGGGGGAGUACGGCCGCAAGGCUAAAAACUCAAAGGAAUUGACGGGGGCCCGCACAAGCGGUGGGAGCAUGUGGGUUUCAAUUCGACGCAACGCGCAGAACCCUUACCCUGGGGCUAGAAAAAUGCAA